GUCCACGCCCUAAACGAUGGGUGCUAGACGUCGGAACAUUAGUUUCGGUGUCGCAGCUAACGCGUUAAGCACCCCGCCUGGGGAGUACGGUCGCAAGAUUAAAACUCAAAGGAAUUGACGGGGACCCGCACAAGCGGUGGAGCAUGUGGUUUAAUUCGAGGCUACGCGAAAAACCUUACCAGCUCUUGACAUCCUGAUAGCUGCGCUUGUAAUGAGCGCUUCAUUUAGUUGGAUCAGAGACAGGUGCUGCAUGGCUGUCGU
rnacentral:rRNA from 1 species